CCUACGGGUGGCUGCAGUGAGGAAUAUUGGUCAAUGGACGCAAGUCUGAACCAGCCAUGCCGCGUGCAGGAAGACGGCUCUAUGAGUUGUAAACUGCUUUUGUACGAGGGUAAACGCAGGUACGUGUAUCUGUUUUAAAGUACUGUACGAAUAAGGAUCGGCUAACUCCGUGCCAGCAGCCGCGGUAAUACGGAGGAUUCAAGCGUUAUCCGGAUUUAUUGGGUUUAAAGGGAGCGUAGGCGGUCGGAUAAGUUAGAUGUGAAAUCCCGAGGCUCAACUUCGGAAUUGCCUGUGAUACUGUUCGGCUUGAGAGUAGUUGCGGUAGGCGGAAUGUCUGGUGUAGCGGUGAAAUGCUUAGAGAUCAUAAAGAACACCGAUGGCGAAGGCAGCUUACCAAGCUACUACUGACGUUGAGGCUCGAAAGCGUGGGGAGCAAACAGGAUUAGAUACCCUAGUAGUC
rnacentral:rRNA from 1 species